GUAUAAACAUCGAUCAUGCUCUUAGGGUUAGUUUGGAAUCGCCCGCAGCCCUCAACUUGUAAAGAAAAACGCGUUUAAUUUAAAAUGUUCUCUGAUAAUGCAAGUCCCAAAGCAGCCAAAUUCUGAUUUUGCAUUAGGUUCCACUGAUUGCCUUAGGUACAAAUACAAAUAAAAUAUUUAAAUCAUUAAUGUAAAACUGGCCCAUCUCCGGAGCCACAUUUGCUUACAAUAUCUUCAACUUGUAUAGAAAGUAACUGUAAAAUCUUUAUUAAAUGAUGAGACAUAAUUUAUUUAGGAUACGUUAAGCAAAAACAGAUUCAGUAUUUUUGCCUUAUAAUUAUAUAAAUCUAGUUGCAACAAAUUCAUAAACUUUUCUUAAAAUUAUUAUCAUCGAUUAUACGUCGGGGCUUUCGGCAUUGCAGGAUAAGCCCAAGGCUGUGCGACAGAUUGCUGAUUUUCUUGGUAGAAAGUUGACAGAUGAAGAUGUGGCAAACAUAUGUGAUUAUUGUUCUGUAGAAAAUAUGAAGAACAACCCAAUGUGCAAUAUGUCUUAUUGGAGAGAUUAUAAGAAAGUAUAUGAUAAUCCUGACGGUGGUUUUAUAAAUCAAGGCAAAGCAGGCGCAUGGAAACAAUUGUUAACGCCAGAGAUUGCAAGGAAAAUUGAAAAACUUCUAGAUGAAAGGCUCCGGUUUAACGUUUAGUGACAACUAAACAUUGAUGUUGAAUAAUUUUCUAGUGUACUGUAUAUAUAAUAAUCAAAGGUUUUCCGAGCUUUUGUUUGCUUUGACGAGAAAAAUAAUCAUUGAAAUGAUGUAAAUUAUCAAAAACUACAAUAGAGAAAAAGAUAUUGACACAUAACAUCGACGUCGAAACUAAGAGACAGUUACUUACAUACAUAAUUUUAGUGCAUAAUAAAUCAUGUUUUUAUAAUAAAAUACAUAUAUUUCA